CGAGGCGCAGGCACUCAUUCUCCGCUGUACGUCUGGAGGCGGUAGUUGUGAGUGCUCUGAAUGGUGCCAUACGGAAGAAAACGGAACAGUAAAACUAGGACGAAAUAAAAAAAACUAAUGGGAACAUUGACAGAAACACCCUAGCCUCUCACUGAAGAUAAUGGGCACUGUUGGCAUUCUUUAUUUGUUGAAAACGGAAAUUCUCGCCAUAUUUUUGAGGUGGCGGGUGUGCUGUACGGCGAGCUCAACAUGGCGCUGCAAUGCAUAACCAGACUGAAUUAGUUUAUUGUUUAUUGAGACCUACGACCGUUGUUGCCACCUGUGCUCCUUGAAACGUUCACGACACCGAUUUACUUGGUGUCUUUUUACUAAUGGAUAUAUUCACUGGGGGCAGAAACGUAGCCUAUCACGGCGACUCCGUGGAUCUGUUCGUUCAUUGUCGCCGACUCGUCAUUCCCGGAUUUUUACCAACUGGAAAUGUAUAAAGACUAAGGAUGUUUUCGUAGUCUAAUCUUACCUACAUGUCAUUUAACAAGCACAACAUUGUCACCCCUAUUUGCUGUCAAGUUAAAUUACAAAAGUGAUAUUAACCCCCGACGCACGAACUCUCGUUGGGUCGUUUUGACUGACUCGUGGAGCCUAGAGAACACUGCCAAAAAGUUCCAACUGGACAUUUUGCGUUUUGGCCAAGAACAAUAGAAUUUAGAGAAAUUAUUCUGGAAUUUCUAUCAGGUAUGCUAAGAAUUUUUGUGAACGUUUGUGACUUUGUUUUUUCCUUUCCAUGUUUCGUUUUGUUUGCUUUUCUGUCUCGCUCCAGUCUGAAGACUCGAUCUUGUUCGGCGUCGCUCUGACUAUAUGGAGACUUGGCCAUCUGAUAAGGGCUUCUACAAAGAACUGCGCAUUUAAGUGGAAUAUUUAGUUGCUUGCCAAUGUUUUGGAGUACUGAGAGAUAUGUGUGAACCUAGUAUUCAUGUUUCACAUAGGCUUUGUAUAAACCUAGUCUAGCCCUACACCCGUUUCUAUAGAAAGAUUGUAGCCUAAGAUGGUGUAAUAUUGGAUGGUUUGGUAACGGAAAUGUGUUGAUUAAGCCUACAUGUUUUAUCGUUCAUCCAAACUCUCAGUAAGUCAUAAUGAGAGAUCCAACGUUGUCACGGGACUUUCCAGCUAACCUUUUUUUUUCAGCCAGUCAGCUAAAUUUAAAGGAAAAUGUCAAAUAAAAAAAUAGCGUGUAGCUCGUGUGUGAUUUCGAUGUAGGCUAAUCUAAUUCUCAUGUUUCAAAUGAAUGGCCUGGCAUAAACAAAUUAGUUGAGUCUCUGUGGGAAUCGGCUU
ensembl:lncRNA